rnacentral:rRNA from 1 species
AACGAACGCUGGCGGCAUGCCUAACACAUGCAAGUCGAACGAGAUCUUCGGGUCUAGUGGCGCACGGGUGCGUAACGCGUGGGAAUCUGCCCUUUGGUUCGGAAUAACAGUUGGAAACGACUGCUAAUACCGGAUGAUGACGAAAGUCCAAAGAUUUAUCGCCAGAGGAUGAGCCCGCGUAGGAUUAGCUAGUUGGUGUGGUGAAGGCGCACCAAGGCGACGAUCCUUAGCUGAUCUGAGAGGAUGAUCAGCCACACUGGGACUGAGACACGGCCCAGACUCCUACGGGAGGCAGCAGUGGGGAAUAUUGGACAAUGGGCGAAAGCCUGAUCCAGCAAUGCCGCGUGAGUGAUGAAGGCCUUAGGGUUGUAAAGCUCUUUUACCCGGGAUGAUAAUGACAGUACCGGGAGAAUAAGCUCCGGCUAACUCCGUGCCAGCAGCCGCGGUAA